UACGUAGGGUGCAAGCGUUAAUCGGAAUUACUGGGCGUAAAGCGUGCGCAGGCGGUUGUGUAAGACAGAUGUGAAAUCCCCGGGCUCAACCUGGGAACUGCAUUUGUGACUGCAUCGCUGGAGUGCGGCAGAGGGGGAUGGAAUUCCGCGUGUAGCAGAGAAAUGCGUAGAUAUGCGGAGGAACACCGAUGGCGAAGGCAAUCCCCUGGGCCUGCACUGACGCUCAUGCACGAAAGCGUGGGGAGCAAACAGG
rnacentral:rRNA from 1 species